AACGAACGCUGGCGGCAGGCCUAAAACAUGCAAGUCGAACGAACCUUCGGGUUAGUGGCGCACGGGUGAGUAACGCGUGGGAAUGUGCCUCUGGGUGCGGAAUAACGUAGGGAAACUUACGCUAAUACCGCAUAAUAUCUACGGAUCAAAGAUUUAUCGCCCAGAGAUCAGCCCGCGUUAGAUUAGGUAGUUGGUGAGGUAAUGGCUCACCAAGCCUACGAUCUAUAGCUGGUCUGAGAGAAUGAUUAGCCACACUGGAACUGAGACACGGUCCAGACUUCUACGGGAGGCAGCAGUUAGGAAUAUUGGACAAUGGGGGCAACCCUGAUCCAGCCAUGCCGCGUGUGUGAUGAAGGCCUUAGGGUUGUAAAGCACUUUCGUCCGCGAAGAUAAUGACAGUACCGGAAGAAGAAGCUCCGGCUAAAUUCGUGCCAGCCGCCGCCGUAA
rnacentral:rRNA from 1 species